AGCAGCCGCGGUAAUUCCAGCUCCAAUAGCGUAUAUUAAAGUUGUUGCAGUUAAAAAGCUCGUAGUUGAAUUUCGGGGUUCAUCCGUUGGUCGGGCUUUUUGGUCUGUACUGGCGUGAUGGAUUCCUACCUUCUGAAUAACCAGCAUGUCAUUAAUUUGGUGCGCUGGGGAAGCAGGACUGUUACCUUGAAAAAUUAGAGUGCUUAAAGCAGGCUAUCGCCUGAAUACAUUAGCAUGGAAUAAUGAAAUAGGACGGCAUGGUUCUAUUUUGUUGGUUUCUAGGAUCACCGUAAUGAUUAAUAGGGAUAGUUGGGGGCAUUAGUAUUCAAUUGUCAGAGGUGAAAUUCUUGGAUUUAUUGAAGACUAACUUCUGCGAAAGCAUUUGCCAAGGAUGUUUUCAUUAAUCAAGAACGAAAGUUAGGGGAUCGAAGACGAUCAGAUACCGUCGUAGUCUUAACCAUAAACUAUGCCGACUAG
rnacentral:rRNA from 1 species